ensembl:lncRNA
CGCUCUGGCGCCCUCUGCUGGCAGCAAGGAGAGCUGCGGCAUGCGGAUGGCCUGGGCUGCUUUUUCUCCCUCUCUGGGAAUCCGUUUCUCCGCCUCUAGGAGGCUGUCCAUUCUUCAUUGUCCUUACCCCCACUCUCCUUUGGAAUUCAGAUGCUGUGCUGGGUGCCAGAGCACAAAGAUGAGCGAGGGUGCCUGCAUUUGUGACACAGUCCGAAAGACAGAAAUGUAGAAGAGUAAACGACCGACUCCAGCAAAAAGAACAUUUUACUGACCACCUGAUGACAACAGGGGAAUGAAAUCCUUUACCUGGCACUGAACUAAGAUCCCCCUCCCCUCAUUUUUAUUAAAAGCC